UCAAAAGAAGCGCACCAGGACUAGGGACCAGGGUGCCAUUUGGAAUGCACACAGGGACAACGUUCCUGUCGGUGUGUCCUGUGUUACAGAGACAGAGAGAUCCAGUUGUAUGAGCUGUCCUCUCUAGAGCCGUACUGUCAGAUCAGUUCCCUGGAGACAGUCCCUCUGAGACUGGACUACUGCUACACUGGACCUGAUGAGUGUUCUAUUUUGUAUGGAGACUCCCAGGGCUGCGUGAAUAUCAUAUUAAUUACCUCCGUGGGGGAGACUCUGAGGUAAACAUGUUUUUUUAUAUUAACUUUAUGCAUCUAUUGAACAACCACAGGAAUGCAUCAUCAUCUUAAAGGCACAUUGUUAAGUCAAUAAAAAAGUAUUAGGAAAAAAGGCUAAUGUAACUGAAAAUGGCUGUCUACUGUUUCCAUGGCGAUUUAUAGCUUAAUAGCCUAAUUUGAGGUUUUGGGUGAUAACAAAUCUACUAUUUCAGUUUUUUGAUUAUGUGCUACUAAGAGGGUGGUUUGCACACAAAUAGAAACAUUUCAAAGUAUUCCUUUUUUAAUUUGUAUAAUCUUUGCUGGUAAGUAAUUAUGGGAAUGUGAUGUCA